UAGGGAAUCUUCGGCAAUGGACGAAAGUCUGACCGAGCAACGCCGCGUGAGUGAAGAAGGUUUUCGGAUCGUAAAACUCUGUUGUUAGAGAAGAACAAGGACGUUAGUAACUGAACGUCCCCUGACGGUAUCUAACCAGAAAGCCACGGCUAACUACGUGCCAGCAGCCGCGGUAAUACGUAGGUGGCAAGCGUUGUCCGGAUUUAUUGGGCGUAAAGCGAGCGCAGGCGGUUUCUUAAGUCUGAUGUGAAAGCCCCCGGCUCAACCGGGGAGGGUCAUUGGAGGCUGGGAGACUUGAGUGCAGAAGAGGAGAGGAGAAUUGCAUGUGUAGCGGUGAAAUGCGUAGAUAUAUGGAGGAAAACGAGUGGCGAAGGCGGCUCUCUGGACUGUAACUGACGAUGAGGCUCGAAAGCGUGGGGAGCAAACAGG
rnacentral:rRNA from 1 species